CUGUAUCCAAGCUCCGUGGCUAGUCUGCGCUCUUUGGCUUUUCAANCUUAGCGAACUGAAACAUCUGAGUAGCUAAAGGAAGGAAAAUCAACCGANACCCCGUUAGUAGCGGCGAGCGAGAGCGGNACAAGGGUUUUCAUCAAAAGAAAUCCGAAGCGGUUUCAUUCGAUUUGUUGUGGAUUGGAUGAUGGAAAAACCAGCAAGCAGCAAGCGUAGGCUGUGUUGCCGUAGCGNGCCUACGGAGUUGUACAAAGUCAGCAACCGUUUUGGGGUGCAAGCAUAGGCAACACAGGACUGAUGACGGGGGGGGGGGG
rnacentral:rRNA from 1 species